rnacentral:rRNA from 1 species
UUAAGCGACUAAGCGUACACGGUGGAUGCCCUGGCAGUCAGAGGCGAUGAAGGACGUGCUAAUCUGCGAUAAGCGUCGGUAAGGUGAUAUGAACCGUUAUAACCGGCGAUUUCCGAAUGGGGAAACCCAGUGUGAUUCGACACACUAUCAUUAACUGAAUCCAUAGGUUAAUGAGGCGAACCGGGGGAACUGAAACAUCUAAGUACCCCGAGGAAAAGAAAUCAACCGAGAUUCCCCCAGUAGCGGCGAGCGAACGGGGAGCAGCCCAGAGCCUGAAUCAGUGUGUGUGUUAGUGGAAGCGUCUGGAAAGGCGCGCGAUACAGGGUGACAGCCCCGUACACAAAAAUGCACAUGCUGUGAGCUCGAUGAGUAGGGCGGGACACGUGGUAUCCUGUCUGAAUAUGGGGGGACCAUCCUCCAAGGCUAAAUACUCCUGACUGACCGAUAGUGAACCAGUACCGUGAGGGAAAGGCGAAAAGAACCCCGGCGAGGGGAGUGAAAAAGAACCUGAAACCGUGUACGUACAAGCAGUGGGAGCACGCUUAGGCGUGUGACUGCGUACCUUUUGUAUAAUGGGUCAGCGACUUAUAUUCUGUAGCAAGGUUAACCGAAUAGGGGAGCCGAAGGGAAACCGAGUCUUAACUGGGCGUUAAGUUGCAGGGUAUAGACCCGAAACCCGGUGAUCUAGCCAUGGGCAGGUUGAAGGUUGGGUAACACUAACUGGAGGACCGAACCGACUAAUGUUGAAAAAUUAGCGGAUGACUUGUGGCUGGGGGUGAAAGGCCAAUCAAACCGGGAGAUAGCUGGUUCUCCCCGAAAGCUAUUUAGGUAGCGCCUCGUGAAUUCAUCUCCGGGGGUAGAGCACUGUUUCGGCAAGGGGGUCAUCCCGACUUACCAACCCGAUGCAAACUGCGAAUACCGGAGAAUGUUAUCACGGGAGACACACGGCGGGUGCUAACGUCCGUCGUGAAGAGGGAAACAACCCAGACCGCCAGCUAAGGUCCCAAAGUCAUGGUUAAGUGGGAAACGAUGUGGGAAGGCCCAGACAGCCAGGAUGUUGGCUUAGAAGCAGCCAUCAUUUAAAGAAAGCGUAAUAGCUCACUGGUCGAGUCGGCCUGCGCGGAAGAUGUAACGGGGCUAAACCAUGCACCGAAGCUGCGGCAGCGACGCUGAUGCGUUGUUGGGUAGGGGAGCGUUCUGUAAGCCUGCGAAGGUGUGCUGUGAGGCAUGCUGGAGGUAUCAGAAGUGCGAAUGCUGACAUAAGUAACGAUAAAGCGGGUGAAAAGCCCGCUCGCCGGAAGACCAAGGGUUCCUGUCCAACGUUAAUCGGGGCAGGGUGAGUCGACCCCUAAGGCGAGGCCGAAAGGCGUAGUCGAUGGGAAACAGGUUAAUAUUCCUGUACUUGGUGUUACUGCGAAGGGGGGACGGAGAAGGCUAUGUUGGCCGGGCGACGGUUGUCCCGGUUUAAGCGUGUAGGCUGGUUUUCCAGGCAAAUCCGGAAAAUCAAGGCUGAGGCGUGAUGACGAGGCACUACGGUGCUGAAGCAACAAAUGCCCUGCUUCCAGGAAAAGCCUCUAAGCAUCAGGUAACAUCAAAUCGUACCCCAAACCGACACAGGUGGUCAGGUAGAGAAUACCAAGGCGCUUGAGAGAACUCGGGUGAAGGAACUAGGCAAAAUGGUGCCGUAACUUCGGGAGAAGGCACGCUGAUAUGUAGGUGAGGUCCCUCGCGGAUGGAGCUGAAAUCAGUCGAAGAUACCAGCUGGCUGCAACUGUUUAUUAAAAACACAGCACUGUGCAAACACGAAAGUGGACGUAUACGGUGUGACGCCUGCCCGGUGCCGGAAGGUUAAUUGAUGGGGUCAGCGCAAGCGAAGCUCUUGAUCGAAGCCCCGGUAAACGGCGGCCGUAACUAUAACGGUCCUAAGGUAGCGAAAUUCCUUGUCGGGUAAGUUCCGACCUGCACGAAUGGCGUAAUGAUGGCCAGGCUGUCUCCACCCGAGACUCAGUGAAAUUGAACUCGCUGUGAAGAUGCAGUGUACCCGCGGCAAGACGGAAAGACCCCGUGAACCUUUACUAUAGCUUGACACUGAACAUUGAGCCUUGAUGUGUAGGAUAGGUGGGAGGCUUUGAAGUGUGGACGCCAGUCUGCAUGGAGCCGACCUUGAAAUACCACCCUUUAAUGUUUGAUGUUCUAACGUUGACCCGUAAUCCGGGUUGCGGACAGUGUCUGGUGGGUAGUUUGACUGGGGCGGUCUCCUCCUAAAGAGUAACGGAGGAGCACGAAGGUUGGCUAAUCCUGGUCGGACAUCAGGAGGUUAGUGCAAUGGCAUAAGCCAGCUUGACUGCGAGCGUGACGGCGCGAGCAGGUGCGAAAGCAGGUCAUAGUGAUCCGGUGGUUCUGAAUGGAAGGGCCAUCGCUCAACGGAUAAAAGGUACUCCGGGGAUAACAGGCUGAUACCGCCCAAGAGUUCAUAUCGACGGCGGUGUUUGGCACCUCGAUGUCGGCUCAUCACAUCCUGGGGCUGAAGUAGGUCCCAAGGGUAUGGCUGUUCGCCAUUUAAAGUGGUACGCGAGCUGGGUUUAGAACGUCGUGAGACAGUUCGGUCCCUAUCUGCCGUGGGCGCUGGAGAACUGAGGGGGGCUGCUCCUAGUACGAGAGGACCGGAGUGGACGCAUCACUGGUGUUCG